rfam:Chlorocebus sabaeus isolate 1994-021 chromosome X, whole genome shotgun sequence.
GCAGGGCGUGGUGCCUCACGCCUGUAAUCCCAGCACUUUGGGAGGCUGAGGCGGGCGGAUCACAAGGUCAGGAGAUCGAGACCAUCCUGGCUAACACAGUGAAACCCUGUCUCUACUAAAAAUACAAAAAAUUAGCGGGGCAUGAUGGUGGNNNNNNNNNNCCACCAUCAUGCCCCGCUAAUUUUUUGUAUUUUUAGUAGAGACGGGGUUUCACCGUGUUAGCCAGGAUGGUCUCGAUCUCCUGACCUCGUGAUCCGCCCGCCUU